GGGGUCGUAGCUCAAAUGGUAGAGCGCCCGCUUAGCAUGAUGCGACCAUGAAGCUGAGCGCCGCAGGUAGAUUGCGGGAGGUAGGGGGAUCGAUGCCCUCCGACUCCA
rfam:Volvox carteri f. nagariensis unplaced genomic scaffold VOLCAscaffold_102, whole genome shotgun sequence.